GAACGCGAAGAACCUUACCUGGACUUGACAUCCCCCGGACGGCUUUUUAACCGGAGCUUUCCCUUCGGGGACUGGGGAGACAGGUGGUGCAUGGUUGUCGUCAGCUCGUGUCGUGAGAUGUUGGGUUAAGUCCCGCAACGAGCGCAACCCUUGCCUUUAGUUGCCAGCACUUUGGAUGGGCACUCUAGAGGGACUGCCGGGGACAACUCGGAGGAAGGUGGGGAUGACGUCAAAUCAUCAUGCCCCUUAUGUUCAGGGCUACACACGUGCUACAAUGGCCGAUACAAAGGGCAGCGAAGGAGUAAUCUGGAGCCAAUCCCAGAAAAUCGGUCCCAGUUCGGAUUGUGGGCUGCAACUCGCCCACAUGAAGUCGGAGUUGCUAGUAAUCGCGAAUCAGAAUGUCGCGGUGAAUGCGUUCCCGGGUCUUGUACACACCG
rnacentral:rRNA from 1 species